AGAUUGAACGCUGGCGGCAUGCCUAACACAUGCAAGUCGAACGGGAGUAGCAAUACUCUAAUGGCGGACGGGUGAGGAAUACGUAGGAAUUUGCCCUUAAGUGGGGGAUAACCCGGGGAAACCCGGAUUAAUACCGCAUGACCUCGAAAGAGCAAAGUGGGGGAUCGCAAGACCUCACGCUUUUGGAGAAGCCUACGUCGGAUUAGCUAGUUGGUGAGGUAAUGGCUCACCAAGGCGACGAUCCGUAACUGGUCUGAGAGGAUGAUCAGUCACACCGGAACUGAGACACGGUCCGGACUCCUACGGGAGGCAGCAGUGGGGAAUAUUGGACAAUGGGCGCAAGCCUGAUCCAGCAAUGCCGCGUGUGUGAAGAAGGCCUGGUUGUAAGACACUUAAGUUAGGAAGAAAAAC
rnacentral:rRNA from 1 species